rnacentral:rRNA from 1 species
AAUAGAUACCCUGGUAGUCCACGCCGUAAACGUUGGGCGCUAGAUGUGGGGACCAUUCCACGGUUUCCGUGUCGCAGCUAACGCAUUAAGCGCCCCGCCUGGGGAGUACGGCCGCAAGGCUAAAACUCAAAGGAAUUGACGGGGGCCCGCACAAGCGGCGGAGCAUGCGGAUUAAUUCGAUGCAACGCGAAGAACCUUACCAAGGCUUAACAUAUACGAGAACGCUGCAGAAAUGCAGAACUCUUUGGACACUCGUAUACAGGUGGUGCAUGGUUGUCGUCAGCUCGUGUCGUGAGAUGUUGGGUUAAGUCCCGCAACGAGCGCAACCCUCGUUCUAUGUUGCCAGCGCGUUAUGGCGGGAACUCAUAGGAGACUGCCGGGGUCAACUCGGAGGAAGGUGGGGAUGACGUCAAAUCAUCAUGCCCCUUAUGUCUUGGGCUUCACGCAUGCUACAAUGGCCGGUACAAAGGGCUGCAAUACCGCAAGGUGGAGCGAAUCCCAAAAAGCCGGUCUCAGUUCGGAUUGAGGU